rnacentral:rRNA from 1 species
AUUGAACGCUGGCGGCAUGCCUUACACAUGCAAGUCGAACGGUAACAGGUUAAGCUGACGAGUGGCGAACGGGUGAGUAAUAUAUCGGAACGUGCCCAGUCGUGGGGGAUAACUGCUCGAAAGAGCAGCUAAUACCGCAUACGACCUGAGGGUGAAAGCGGGGGAUCGCAAGACCUCGCGCGAUUGGAGCGGCCGAUAUCAGAUUAGGUAGUUGGUGGGGUAAAGGCCUACCAAGCCUACGAUCUGUAGCUGGUCUGAGAGGACGACCAGCCACACUGGGACUGAGACACGGCCCAGACUCCUACGGGAGGCAGCAGUGGGGAAUUUUGGACAAUGGACGCAAGUCUGAUCCAGCCAUGCCGCGUGCGGGAAGAAGGCCUUCGGGUUGUAAACCGCUUUUGUCAGGGAAGAAAAGGUUCUGGUUAAUACCUGGGACUCAUGACGGUACCUGGAGAAUAAGCACCGGCUAACUACGUGCCAGCCGCCGCCGUAAAAC